UACGGGGGGGGGCAAGCGUUGUUCGGAAUUACUGGGCGUAAAGGGCUCGUAGGCGGCCAACUAAGUCAGACGUGAAAUCCCCAGGCUCAACCUGGGAACUGCGUCUGAUACUGGAUGGCUUGAAUCCGGGAGAGGGAUGCAGAAUUCCAGGUGUAGCGGUGAAAUGCGCAGAUAUCAGGAGGAACACCGAUGGCGAAGGCAGCUCGCUGGGACGGUACUGACGCUGAGGCGCGAAAGCGUGGGGAGCAAACAGG
rnacentral:rRNA from 1 species